GAUGAACGCUGGCGGCGUGCUUAAUACAUGCAAGUCGAGCGGACAGACGCGGAUUUUGCUGCGUGGUCGUUUGCCGAGCGGGUGUGUGAAACGUGAGUAACAUGCCCCUGACAGUGUGAUAUCUUCUGGGGAAUGCGGCGCUUACCGGGUAUAAGCUUCUGCUGCACAUGGUUGAAUAGUGAAAUUCGGCGGUUGGGGAAGGACUCGAGGGUUAUCCGCUUGUUGGUGGGGUAGUGGCGUACCAAGGCUUGGACGGGUAGCCGGCAUGAGAGGGUGACCGGCAACAUUGGGACUGAGAUACGGCCCAGACUCCUACGGGAGGCAGCAGUGGGGAAUAUUGCACAAUGGGCGGAAGCCUGAUGCAGCAACGCCGCGUGCGGGAUGACGGCCUUCGGGUUGUAAACCGCUUUCGCCUGUGACGAAGCGUGAGUGACGGUAAUGGGUAAAGAAGCACCGGCUAACUACGUG
rnacentral:rRNA from 1 species